GCAGCUGUCCUGCAGCAGUCACCAAGGCUGUGGGAAGCUGCCAGCAGUGAGCCACCAGACAGCACCUCUGCCAUGGGGCCACCACUGCUGUGGCAAGCACAGCCCCACAGUGCCAGCCCUCCAGGAGGAAUCCAUGGCAUUCCCUGGGCUGCAGACAGGCAGCACACUGAGGGCCAGGGGCUGCAGCAUUCCCUGCACCCAGCCAUGCUGCUCUCAACAGCCUGGCCUGAAGCUACAGAGGUAAAAUAACACUUUUACCCCUCCCGGAGCAGGAGUCACAUCUGUGCCCAGUUCUCCUUCUGUGCAAGGUGUAUUACCAUGGAUAUGUAGAAGGAGGGACAGGCUGGUAAAGUAUUGCAGCAGCAUUAAUUACAACUCUUCCCCAGCUGUUGUGUAAGGCUGGCAUCAGCAGAGUUUGCAAGUGACACCUGGCUGCUUAUUUCAAACCUCAACACUUUGGCAGAAGCUGGAAGAGGAAAUAGGAUCUGCUUGUAAUCUGCAGCGCUAAGAGGAGAGCAAACCUAAUGACUCUGACUGAGGCAUCAACAGUUUGUGCCAGCAACAACACCCUUCUACCUCUGCCUCUUCCCCCUGUAAUAAAGCAGUGGAUAUUUCCAACUCCACCUCCUCUUUCAGAAAAAUCA